CCUUUGAUAGCUCAGCUGGUGCAGCUGAGAACCGUAGAUCCUUAGGUCACUGGUUCAAAUCCAGCCCACAGGG